AAACAAGUGUCUGCUGGAAGAGAGUAGGUGAGUUGUGUUUAGUCUCUUUGCUAAAGAAAUGAGUCAAAGUUAAAAAGAUGUUUGGUGUCUAGUACUAUGUCUGUGACCCUAUAUGUCCUGUUGAUGAAGUUAGGUGCUGUUCUGAGCAUUAUUUGUGGCUAUAGAGUGGCGUUUUGGUUGGGGGCGUGUCUCUCUGUAUUUCUAUCCUGCGGUCGUUACUAAAGUUGGUAUAACUAGAGAAGCAAGCGGUCGGCAACAUUCAUCUCCGGAGGGGGG